rnacentral:rRNA from 1 species
GACGAACGCUGGCGGCGUGCCUAAUACAUGCCAGUCGAACGCUUCUUUCCUCCCGAGUGCUUGCACUCAAUUGGAAAGAGGAGUGGCGGACGGGUGAGUAACACGUGGGUAACCUACCCAUCAGAGGGGGAUAACACUUGGAAACAGGUGCUAAUACCGCAUAACAGUUUAUGCCGCAUGGCAUCAGAGUGAAAGGCGCUUUCGGGUGUCGCUGAUGGAUGGACCCGCGGUGCAUUAGCUAGUUGGUGAGGUAACGGCUCACCAAGGCCACGAUGCAUAGCCGACCUGAGAGGGUGAUCGGCCACACUGGGACUGAGACACGGCCCAGACUCCUACGGGAGGCAGCAGUAGGGAAUCUUCGGCAAUGGACGAAAGUCUGACCGAGCAACGCCGCGUGAGUGAAGAAGGUUUUCGGAUCGUAAAACUCUGUUGUUAGAGAAGAACAAGGACGUUAGUAACUGAACGUCCCCUGACGGUAUCUAACCAGAAAGCCACGGCUAACUACGUG